GGGAGGAAAUGUCCCACUCCAAAUAUACCAAAUGGCAAGACAGAUGCUGAUGAUGACGACGACAUCCGUUUGGGUGGCAAUGUAACUUUCUCCUGUGUAUCUGGGUUUAGACUUGUUGGUGAAGCUACACUUAAGUGUGUUCUGAAAGAUGGCAAGGUUGAUUGGAAUAGAGAGUUCCCAGUUUGCGAACAUAUCCCUUGUAAUCGUCCUGAAAAUAUUCCUGAUGGACAAUUUGAUCCUGACCCUAAAGAUGAAUAUUAUGUAGACUCAGUUGUAAUCUACCACUGCAACCGUGAUUUCUCCCUGAUUGGAAAUUCAACCAUCACAUGCAUAACUACAGAAGAUGGCCGAAAUGGAAAGUGGAAUUUACCUGCCCCUGAAUGUAAAAAGGUCAAGUGUGAUCCACCAAAAGUGGAAAAUGGGAAAUUAACUAAUUUACCUAAGCCUUCAUAUACCUA